CCUAGAAUAAAUCUAAGGUGGAACCUGCCCAAUGAUUUUUAAUUAUAUAAAUGUGAAUAUUUACAAUAAAAUUUAAAGGACGCAGUAACCUGACUGUGGUAAUGUAGCAUAAUCAUUUGCCAUUUAAUUGGUGGAUAGAAUGAAUGGUCAAACGAAUACUUCACUGUCUCAAAAAAAGGAUUCAUGAAAUUAAAAUAAUAGUAAAGAUGCUAUUUAAAAUUGUAAGACGAAAAGACCCUAUAGAGCUUAACUAUAUUCUCCUUUAAAAAUAAAGAGCAAAAAUUCUGGAAUAAGGAGAAAGGUAGUUUAGUUGGGGCGACUGUCUUCUAAAAAAAACGAAGAUAAGCAAUAUUAAUAAAUAAUUUAUUGUAUAAUAAAUAAAUUUAACAAUUAUGAAAGUAGGCUAUAAUGACCCGUUAUAAUUACAUGAUGAAAAUAACGAUCAAUAAAUAAAAGCUACCUUAGGGAUAACAGGAUAAUUUUGUUUUAGAGAUCCUAUCGAAAACAAAGUUUGUCACCUCGAUGUUGAAUUAAGAUAACCUAAUAGAGCAGAAGCUAUUAAAGGUGGGUCUGUUCGACCUUUAAAAU
rnacentral:rRNA from 1 species